CCUCUCACCCCGUAUGCCGUGUCCAUGGAAUAAUGGAAUAGGACCUCGGCUCCUAUUUUUUGGUUUUCGGAAUCUGAGGUAAUGAUCAAAUGGGACAGGCGGGGGCAUUUCGUAUUGGAGGUUAGAGGUGAAAUUCUUCGCUCGUCGCAAGACGGCCCGAAGCGAAAGCAUUCCCCAAGUAUGUUUCUCCUCGAUCAAGAACGAAAGUUAGAGGUUCGAAGGCGAUCCGAUACCGCCCUAGUUCUAACCAUAAACUAUGCCUGCCAGCGAUCCGCCGAAGUUCCUCCGAUGACUCGGCGGGCAGCUUCCGGGAAACCAGAGCUUUUGGGUUCCGGGGGAAGUAUGGUUGCAAAGCUGAAACUUAAAGGAAUUGACGGAAGGGCACCACCAGGAGUGGAGCCUGCGGCUUAAUUUGACUCAACACGGGAAAACUCACCAGGCCCGGACACCGGAAGGAUUGACAGAUUGAGAGCUCUUUCUUGAUUCGGUGGGUGGUGGUGCAUGGCCGUUCUUAGUUGGUGGAGCGAUUUGUCUGGUUAAUUCCGAUAACGAACGAGACUCUAGCCUACUAACUAGGCGUACCCGGUAUCCACAAUCGUGCUACCGGCGAUCAAAUUUCUUCUUAGAGGGACAGGCGGCUUCUAGCCGCACGAGACUGAGCAAUAACAGGUCUGUGAUGCCCUUAGAUGUCCUGGGCCGCACGCGCGCUACACUGAAGGAAUCAGCGUGUUUUCCCUGUCCGAAAGGACCGGGUAAUCCGCUGAACCUCCCCCUGCUAGGGAUUGGGGCUUGCAAUUGUUCCCCAGAACGCGGAAUCCCCAUUAAGCCCCCCUCAUUGG
rnacentral:rRNA from 1 species